rnacentral:rRNA from 1 species
AUCUUAUCGGUGGAUAACUUGGCUCGAAAUACGAUGAAGGACGUGGCAAAAUGCGAAAAGCAUCGCGAACUGCGGAUAUCAGAGAGUCGAUGGAUUUCCUAA